GUUUGUUUGGGAUCAUCAGGGAGACACCAAGAACAAGACGGCUAGAAGACUGGGUUGACUUCACCAUCAAUGUGCUCUUACCGGAAGUGACAGUUCACACCCUGGCUAUAAAAUAUGACACGCCAAUGCAAGAGGCUAUUGUCAGAUACAAAAAAGGGUUACAGUAUGAACCAUGUGAAUUGAAAAUGAUUGAGAAAGCGUUAGUGAAGAACUUACCUGAGGACGCAGCAGUGAAGCUCAGAGCUUUCAAAAAGAGAAUGGAAAGAGCCCUUUCCCUCAGAGGAGAGGGCUGGCUCUAAUACAGUUGUGUGAAAAAGUAUUCCGGAUUUCUUAUUCUUUUGCAUGUUUGUACGGUAAUGGGACAUGUAUCUUCCCAAAAUUUUAACUUUUGUCUCUUUUGUCCACAGAAUAUUCUCCCAAAAUGUCUUGGAGAUCAUCUAGAUGUUUUUUGGAAAAAAUGACUUGACUUUUUAUGUUCUUUAUGCUCAGUAGUGGUUUUCGCCUUGGAACUCUGACAUGGAGGCCAUUUUCGCCCCUUGUCUAUCUUAUUGUAAAGUCAUGAACAUUGACCUUAACUGAGUCCAGUGAGUUCUGCAGGUCUUUGGGUGUUGUUCUGGGGGCUUUUGUGACCUCUCGGAUGAGUUUUAGUUGUGCUUUUUGGGUCAUUUUGGUCGGCGGGCCUCUCCCACUAUUACUUUACAUUGUCAGGCAGGUUCUAUUUUAGUGAUUUCUUGUUGAGAAUUUGUCAAUAACAAAGACCUUCAUUUAAAAACUG